rnacentral:rRNA from 1 species
UAGGGAAUCUUCCACAAUGGACGAAAGUCUGAUGGAGCAACGCCGCGUGAGUGAAGAAGGGUUUCGGCUCGUAAAACUCUGUUGUUAGAGAAGAAUGACAUUGAGAGUAACUGUUCAAUGUGUGACGGUAUCUUACCAGAAAGGAACGGCUAAAUACGUGCCAG